GAUGAAGAACGGAGCGAAAUGCGAUACGUAAUGUGAAUUGCAGAAUUCAGUGAAUCAUCGAGUCUUUGAACGCACAUUGCGCCCCCUGGUAUUCCGGGGGGCAUGCCUGUCCGAGCGUCAUUGCUGCCCUCAAGCACGGCUUGUGUGUUGGGCCUCCGUCCUCCUCCCGGGGGACGGGCCCGAAAGGCAGCGGCGGCACCGCGUCCGGUCCUCGAGCGUAUGGGGCUUCGUCACCCGCUCUUGUAGGCCCGGCCGGCGCUUGCCGACACAUCAAUCUUUUUUCCAGGUUGACCUCGGAUCAGGCAGGGAUACCCGCUGAACUUAAGCAUAUCAAUAAGCGGAGGA
rnacentral:misc_RNA from 1 species